UGGCUCUCGCAUCGAUGAAGAACGCAGCGAAAUGCGAUAAGUAAUGUGAAUUGCAGAAUUCAGUGAAUCAUCGAAUCUUUGAACGCACCUUGCGCUCCUUGGUAUUCCGAGGAGCAUGCCUGUUUGAGUGUCUUGAAGUCAUCAACCACCCCCGUUUGAAUGCGGGGUGUUGCGUUGGAACUGGGGGCGUGCCGCUGCAAAGCGGCUCCCUUCAAAUGCAUCGGUUGGACCUGUGGGUCGAACUCGACUGGGCGUUGUAACAUCCUCGCUCCACCGAGAGGUUCCCCUUUGGCGUCCUCCCACGACCGACCUCUGGAGUGGCGGUCAACUCUUUGAAAUCUGACCUCAAAUCAGGUAGGACUACCCGCUGA
rnacentral:misc_RNA from 1 species